rnacentral:rRNA from 1 species
UACGUAGGGGGCAAGCGUUGUUCGGAAUUACUGGGCGUAAAGCGCGUGUAGGCGGUUAUCCAAGUCAGGUGUGAAAGCCUUGAGCUCAACUCAAGAAAUGCACUUGGUACUGGGUGACUAGAGGACCGGAGAGGAUAGUGGAAUUCCCAGUGUAGUGGUGAAAUACGUAGAGAUUGGGAAGAACACCAGUGGCGAAGGCGGCUAUCUGGACGGUUUCUGACGCUAAGACGCGAAAGCGUGGGGAGCAAACAGG